rnacentral:piRNA from 1 species
UAGUCUUGGUUUUAUAAGAGAGCAG